CCCCUCGGCCUCGGGGCGGGGCUCCCUCCGGCGCCCGGCUGCCCUUUCCCCUGCAGCCUCUGAGCCGGCUGGAGUUCCCGGGCCGAGCUCCGGACACGUGCGGUGAGUGCGGACCAGGUCCGGGAGGUCCUAGACGUCUACCAAUUCCCCCGGUAAGAGGCCUCGGUGUGGAAGGCUUCUGCUGAGUCACGGGACGAAGUUAGGUGCGUUGCGUCGUGACCCCGGGUUUCGAGCGCAUCUGGGAGAGACUGAGAAAUGGGCCUCCCCGCCGUUUGCUGCCGUCUGUCUCGUUUGUCCCCGCCGCGACACCUUGCACCGGUCCCCGGAAGACUCGGAACCCAGGCACCGGCGCCGGGGGGAAGGUCUGUGAGGAGCACGUGUCCGGAUGGCGCUCGGUCAGCACCUUGAAUCCCAGCCUCAGAAAGGAGCAAGCUGCUCUUUUAUUUUAUUUUUAAACUUGGAGGGGCCAACUGUGGACUUCAGCCAGAUGUAGUCCCAGGAUGACUUGAAAGAAGGGCAUCCUUGACCCUCCUGAAGCAGUAAUUAGUGAUGGCCUUCAUCUGAGAGAACCGCACCUACACUGGGGCUUCAGUCACCUGACAGCUGUGUGAUUGGCUAAUAUAUGUCGUCAUUUUGUCGUGUUCCAGUCCUGUAACCUACUAAGAGGAAAAUUAAAGGAGCAACAGUACAGUGGACAGGGUUCAAAGAAAGUGACAGUGAACUUUUGCUAUGAAAACUUGGCUCAUCUCAAAAUUCAAUCAGGAAAAAGAAACCCAGAGGAAUAAGUUCUUCUGGCCCCAAAGGGAUGCAAAAAGGUGGCUCUGUGCCUAAGAUUUCACACAAAGGAAAACAAGCUGAUGCUGCAGUCCUCAGAUGACUGGUUAUUUUUACCCUGUGAGCUCAGAGAAGAGGUGAAUUCUUGACCAGCUGCUGACUGAAAGGAAGAGCCAGGCCCCAGUACUAGUGUCCUACAAGCUGAAGGAGUGGAGUUCUCCAACAGUGGCUUCCAAAUGCUGCUCCAUCAAACUUUCUUACAGGUCCUAGAAAAAGUUACUGUACAUAGUACACCUCAAUCAUGUGUGGAACUGUUACAGUAUUCUUAGAAUAAAUGUUUCUUAUUUCUGCCUUA